GAGAUUGUUGAGUCCCCUGUGGCUCACAGAUUACUACAACACCAGUUGCAGGUACAGUUAAAGGUUACUUGACGCGAGCGCGUUGAUUGUACAUUUGGAGUUGCUUCUUCUUCUUCUUCAUCGAUCUAGGAUGGGUUCCAGGCCGGCAGCCUGGGAUAGCAAGGAUGGACGUCGUUUCAUUUUCUCGUUUGUUUUCGUCCGUAGUCGGACCCUGCUCUUACUCUUGAUGAUUAUGUAAUGUGCUGUUGUGACUCUGAUGUAGCUUGUGGCGAGUAUAAGCGAAGUCUCUAUGUAUAUCUCUUCUUUUCAGUACAUGUACUUGUAACGAUAUCCAUUCUUGCGACACGACGAGAUGCGCUUCUAUCCCUGACGAGGCCUUCGUGCCAAAUUGAGGAUAGGGUCACAUCUUGGGCGUGACAUGAGUGGAGGGUGGCCCCAUAAUAAAUAGGCAGGAAGAAACGCCAUAGCUUUUGACGUUGCAGUGCUUUCGAGAAACGCGAGACAACUAUGGCGUUGCGAGGAAGUAAAAACGCCACGGCAGACUGGUUUUUGGUGGUGGUAAGAAACGCCACACUUGAGUGUCGUUUUGUAGUGGGACAGCAACGCCACGGCUUGUGGCGUUUCAAAAAGGGUUAGAUCGUGAAAUCUUUUCAAACUGGGUUCAUUUUUUGCAUAACUUCAACAAAAAAGUUAGAACAGUGAAAAAAUCUCAACCACCGCAUCAACCUGACGACACCGUUGUUCCGUGAAUUUUGACACGAGCCCUCAUGCCGUCAAAUCAACCUAUGUGUUCAAGCCAUAUUCAUCAAUUUAUUUUAUUUCGCGUGAAUUAAAACCAAUCCCCGAGUUUCCUCGUGGUGGCCAUGUAGGCAGCCCAUUUUGGACCAACACUCAUGAGGAGCACUGGCCCGGGGGUUGAUAAUUAUCCACGGGGUAGCUAUUUCCUAUGCAUUUUUAUUAAGUUGUUAGCAAAUGGAGUACCAAUGUUGGGACUUUCCGGAAGAAUUUUAACCCAAAAUAGAUUAUCAAGGGGGUCCCCAUAACAACACCAAGCGUAUUAGGAGCGCUCCAUAUGGAACAUAACACCGGUAACCGGAAACGAGGGCCGUAAAAGUGGAACAAAACACCAAGAAAAAGGCCAAGCCUUCCGCCUUAACCAAGUAUAUAUGUGCAUUAAAUUAAAUAGAAAUAAUAAGAUGAUAUCCCAAAUAUCCAUGUAAACACAUGGAUCACCCUGCACGUGCAACUAGAACGCUAUAAGAAGGGCUGAGCAAGCGCUAACGUAGCCAAUCAAUGUUUGGUAGGAAGUGGAGGGCUUACCAUGGCAUUUUUGGGAGGCUUGCGAUCCAGGUGACAGGCAACGAUAUUUAACGAGAUAAACAAGACAACUAAGCAUAGCAAAAUUAGAAACAAUAUCAAGGUCAAUGGUCAUCUUGCGUGGCACUUCUUCUGGGGAAUAUAACUCUUGCUCUCUAGGAAUGUUCUCGAUAGUAUCCUCGUACAGGUACUCGGCACCCUGCGCUACCCAAAAUAAAAUACAACAUCCAAUGAACAAAAAGCCACGGCAUGAUGCUCAAACAAUAUGAUGCAUGAGUAUAAUGUGAAUGAAGCAAGGUAAUGCUACACUAGUCAUCUUUCUCAUGCAAUUAUUUAGUUAUUAUCAUUCCAUACAUAACCUCAUGAUUAAUUAUUUGGAGAUGCAUUAACAUGGAAAAAAUGAAUGCAUCACAAGAAAAUGAUACAGAUACAAAUAAAGAACGUCGCAAACCGAGUUACGGAUCUCUCAGGACUCUCACGACAAGGUACGGAAGGCAACGAAGAUAAAACAGAAUUUGAAAGAGGUUAUGUGCAAUUCCUUGGCAUCCGAAGUAUUCCACUAGAUUGGUCACAAAAUUCUAGGUGAAAUGAACCUAAAUAUCAUGCAAAACAAAGGGUACAACUCUCACAAAGUGCGGAACAAUUCUAUAAGCAAUUUGUCCGAAAACAGCAACAUGUCACAUUGCACAUACUAAAACUAACAGCUACAGUAAGCUUACAAGCACAACCAAGAUAUGGAAAUGAAAUGCACAUAAUGUGCAACAACUCAUUUAAGCAACAACAUGGAUAGUAGCCUCGAUCAAUGGAAAUAAAGCUCACGGGAUGGCAUAAAACCUAACGGAUUAUGACUUAGUUGAAAUACUAGUGUUACACAAGCAAAAUUAUCAUGAUGGCAUAUUGACACCAAAGAAACACUAUGUUAUAGGGACUUCCAUGGCAUUAAAUUUAACAGGGUGAUAGAGAGCAACAUGUACUACAAUUAACACGAAAUAGCAACAUCAGAUACUGCACAUAACCAUUGAUAGCAUCCACUCUAAAUGGCAUGAUGAACUAAGUAGAUUCUCAGACUUAGCAAAAUUCACAAGGUGAAAUACAGAACAGUUUUCAUCAGCAUGGCAUAUUUGACUAUAAAAAUAACUUUGACGCAUAACCUAAAUUGCAAAGUAUUGGCACAAUUUAACACAUGGCAACAUGCUCUAUCAUUCACUCCACUGCACGAGCACAAAGAACUUAUAGAUACUUAGCAAUCCACAUGGAAACAUGGCUACUUUGUGCCCCUAUCAAAUCACCAACAUUGGCAUAGCAUUUGAUAGCAAGAAUAGCACAUGUAGACAAGGUUUUUCAUGGAAAUCGCAAUACCACGGCCUAGUACCCCAAACAAACAACAACUAUCAUGUUGACAAUUUUACCAAUGGGUUCAAGAAUUGCUUCAUGCAAAAAUAACAAAAGGGCACCAUGGUGAAAAUAUCAUGCACACCAACUUGCUCAAAUGAUAACACUAAUGUCACACAUGAAUUCCUUGGAUUUUUCUACCGCAAAUUCACAUAUCGUAAGCCUAUAUUACAGCACACAAACGUGCGAAAAACCACAAGCAAAAUUGAAUCAACUAGGUAAAACCUAGUAUAUGCCAGAUUAGGCAUAUGCCCAAAUUGACAUUGCGAGAUUUGGUACUUGCCCUAAAUGGAAACAAUGCAAAAAUAGAGUAAGGAAUAAAACAAAACAAAGGAAAAAAUACACAUAGGGGGUCCCAUUGGAAGUCUCACGAGGGACCCUGAGAGCUUGCCACAUGGGUCCAAGGGCCCAUUGUUAGCCUCACAACAUUUUAAUUCAAGCAUGGAAAAAGGGGCUCAGGGGGAUCAAACCCAAACCUCUUGGUGUCACACUGCAC
rnacentral:lncRNA from 1 species